rnacentral:rRNA from 1 species
CACCGGCGGCUCGGGUGGUGGCCACUUUUAUUGGGUCUAAAGCGUCCGUAGCCGGCUUGGCAAGUCCCCUGGGAAAUCUGGCGGCUUAACCGUCAGGCGUCCAGAGGAUACUGCCAGGCUUGGGACCGGGAGAGGUGAGAGGUACCUCAGGGGUAGGGGUGAAAUCUUGUGAUCCCUGAGGGACCACCAGUGGCGAAGGCGUCUCACUAGAACGGGUCCGACGGUCAGGGACGAAAGCUGGGGGCACGAACCGG